UCCGAGUUGACCCCGGCAGUCUCCUAUGAGUCCCCACCAUCACGUGCUGGCAACAUAGAACGAGGGUUGCGCUCGUUGCGGGACUUAACCCAACAUCUCACGACACGAGCUGACGACAACCAUGCAGCACCUGUGCGGAGUGUCCUCGCGGAAACGUGCAUCUCUGCACGCGGCACUCCCAUGUCAAGCCCUGGUAAGGUUCUGCGCGUUGCGUCGAAUUAAACCACAUGCUCCACCGCUUGUGCGGGCCCCCGUCAAUUCCUUUGAGUUUUAGCCUUGCGGCCGUACUCCCCAGGCGGGGCGCUUAAUGCGUUAGCUACGGCACGGAUCCCGUGGAAGGAAACCCACACCUAGCGCCCACCGUUUACGGCGUGGACUAC
rnacentral:misc_RNA from 1 species